ensembl:lncRNA
UUAGCUACAGAGUACUUCCUUUCUUUCUCUACGCUCUUUUGAUGUUUUUGUAGGUGAGAAGCAGAUUUCAGCAGUUGCUCCUGAUGACAGGCAGAUGUUAUCUCCAAGUGAGACCUUGUCCGGUUGGUGUCAACACAGAAACGACCAAAUAUCCCGUAUUUGUGCUCGACAGCACAUGUGGGGAUUUUUCUUCUGAACAAAGUAUGAAGAUUAAAGACGGUCGAAUGAUGCUGUUAUGUGCUGUUAUCAGUGUUCCUGCUCUGGCUACCGCAGCCUCCUUCUGCUUGAGGACUCACGUCAGCCGAUUGUAUCUCCCAGUCCUUAUACGCACGUAUUUCCUGUGAAAUAUAGCCAGCACUGAAACUAGAGGUGUGCAGAUGCUGGCAGUGAGGUGACGGACACACAGGCAGGAUGAAGGCAGAGCUGUUGGUUCUGGUGGUGAGUUUGCUGUGCUGGACUGAAGCUGAAGAUGAUUGCGACCAAGCUGGAGUGAAUACCUCUGGAGACAUGGUGAUCUCACCUGGAGAAGCCUUCAGGCUGAACUGUACUUUCAUAUGUUUAAAAAACAGCCACGUUGCACAGCUGUGGAAGAACAACGAGUCUCUUGUCAACAUUUCCUCUGCAUUACCCAAUGUGACCCUGGUCCUGAAUGUCCAGUCUUUUACAAAGGCACACACUGGACAAUACCAAUGCAAGACCUACCCACCCCAUACCAUUAGUCCUGCUUUUAGUAUUCAAAUAGCAAGCACCAACCACCUUGCGGCCGCAGCGCAAUGCAGCAGCUUCGGCAAUGGAAAUGCUGAACAUGGUCCAUUCGGACUCAAUGUCCCCAGUCUCCCUCGGAAUGCUGCUGAAGCUCUGCCGGAGGUGUGCGUUGAAGAUCUCGCGGACUGGGGCCUCUGCUAGACGUUCCCAGCACACCCUCACUACGCGUUUAGGUGCACCAGGUCUGUCCAGCGUCCUCCCCCGCCACCUGAUCCAACUCACCACCAGGUGGUGAUCAGUUGACAGCUCAGCCCCUCUCUUUACCCGAGUGUCCAGAACAUAUGGUCGCAGGUCAGGUGAUACGAUUACAAAAUCGAUCAUCGACCUACAGCCUAGAGCGUCCUGGUGCCACGUGCACUUAUGGACACUCUUAUGUUCGAACAAGGUGUUCGUUAUGGCCAAACUGUGAUUAGCACAGAAGUCCAACAACAAAACACAGCUUGGGGUCAGAUCAGGAAGGUUGUUCCUUCCAAUCACGCCCCUCCAGGUCUCGCUGUUGUUACCCACGUGAGCAUUGAAGUCUCCCAGCAGGACAACAGAGGCUCCAGGUGGAGCACCUUCCAGCACCACCCCCCCCCCCAGGGUCUUUAAGAAGGCUGGGUACUCUGAACUGCCACUUGGCAGAUGACAGUUGGGACCUGUUCCCCGACCCUAAGGUGCAGGGAACAAACCCUCUCAUCCACCGGGAAGAACCCCAACGUACCGGCAGCAAGCCGAAGGGAUAUUAGAAUACCCACCCCAGCCCACCAACUCUCACCAGGGGCAACUCCAGACUGAGACAGAGUCCAUUCCCUCUCCAGGAGACUGGUUCCAGAGCCCAAGCCAUGCGUAGAGGUGAGCCCGACUAUAUCUAGCCGGUACCUCUCAACCUCACGCACUAACUCAGGCUCCUUCCCCACCAGAGAGGUGACAUUCCAUGUCCCUAUUGCCAGUCUUGGUAGCCAGGGAUCAGUCCGCCAGGGCCUCCGCUCCUGGCCGCCGUCCGGCACCCAAUGCACCCAAUGCGCCUUCUGUGGGUGGGUGGGCCUGCAGGAGUGUGGGCCCAUGUCCUCUUUUCGGGCUGUGCCCGGCCAGGCCCCAUGGACUAAGGCCCGGCCACCAGACACUCGCCCUUGGGCACCCUCCCUGGGCCUGGCUCCAGGGCGGGGCCCCGGUAACCCUAUAAGUCUUGCCGGCUUUAUAGUCAGUGUUCAGUCAAGUCAAAUCCAAAAGGUCAAAAGUCUGUGAUGGGUGUGAUUUUGUCCAACCGCUCUGUUGCAAUUCUUCGUGAGAGAAGAGCAACCUGCCCUUCUGGGCCAACUCGGAAUGGCUGUGGUUCGGUUCAAAGGGAACAGCUCGCCAUCUUCCUCGUCAGGAAGAGAUCCAGGUCUCACGAUCCCACAAAAAAAGCCAGCACGCUUCUAAUGUUCAACUCUCAGAGAGGAUAUUGUCCGCUUCCUCCGCGCCCGUGCAGAUCACGAUGGUUCCAAAGUGUUCACAACAAAUCAGGUCCGUUUCUCCAAGGUCCAUGCAGAUCUCCGGUAUGGAUAUCUGCUCAGUUUCUCAAGUUUAUAGUUAUUUUCCAGCAACAAGCUGGUCCCGUGCACAUCCGUCUCUGUCUGUGUCUGAGCACAUGUUGUGCCAAAAAGUGAUCAGCCCACUGAAGCAUGUUAUAUUAAUAUUAAUAUUUUAUUAAAUGAUCAUUGAAAAAGGCAGACUGUAAUAACACUUUUGUGUGAACUGUAAAGUGAAUUUAUUUAUUGAUCCCAUUUAGAACAACAGAGGUUAAUCCAAAGUGUUUUCCAGGAAAGUGCAUUCACAUUCCAGCUUUCCAGAAAACCCAGUUUGGAACAUGUGAACAGUGUGUAUUACUGUUUUUAGGCUAUCAUGACUUAUUCCUGGUCUGAUUAACACUCCUCUGUCCAGAUAACUUCACAGGAAAACCACCUUCCUUGACCAUCAGCAGCCCAAAGUGUAACUGCACCCAGCAGACCCACAAUGCAGCAGGUGAGCGCUCACAAGCACGUUAUCAGUUUGAUGUCACUGAUUGUGCUCAUCAGAGUCAGGACUAAUAUGUUAUAACGUGUGAUUGGAAGUCUCACACAGAGCAGGAUUUCCACAGUAGCUGCUGUUUCUUUAUUUUUAGUGCUGAUUUUUUCAGUCUUUCAGUUUUUUACAGUUUCCAAAGAGCAGUGCAGAGGCUCAGACUUCUCUCCCAGUAUGUGUUGGCUUUUCCCCCUCUCCCUCCCUGGGGGUUCACACUUCACUAUCCAUUCCAACCCCUGCACAGGAAAACACACUCAGACUGAGAGAUGAGGAGAAAGUCAAAUGUUUCCUUCAUGUCUGUGUGCUAUACAUGCUAAUCUAUCGCUCCCCUCUAAAUGCGGCUCGUCUCUGCGUGCGCUCUUUAGCUUCUGAGGGAUUUUAUGUAACCCAGUGUACAUUCAUCUGUGUCCAUGCAGGUCUGAAGGGUCAGCUGUGGUUCUGGGUGCUUCUGGGAAAAACUACCAUCCUGCUCCUGAGCCUGGCCUCGCUGGCUGUAAAACACAAGACAGAAUGAGAUCAGACGGACACCCAUAUCUCCUCUCAGCAUUGCUUUGUUUGUAUUAUUCAGUUUUAAGAUGUAGCCUCUUUUAUUCUGUCUUCUUUUAAAUUUAAGCUCUGCAUUAUUUAGUCCGCAAUUAACACGCAUGCACACACACAUUUGACUAAAUACCCACUGCAAGGAACAAUCAGUUUAUACUGGGGCUCACUCAUUUGCAGUAAAUUUGUUUAUUUGUGGUGUCUGAUUUGCUGAAGCUUUGCUCUUUAAAUUAACACCAGGAUCCAUGAUUUUGCUAAUUAUUUUCAUCAUGAUUUGCUUAAAAUAAUGAAAACAUGACAAAGGUGUUUUUAAAACAACUCGAGACAUUAAAACAGUAAAUAAUUCCCUUAUUAACUCUCCAAUAGUUUGCUCUGAGGCUGCAUAACCAACACCAGAUUAUGUCGACUCCUUGAGUGGAUGGACGGGAACAUGAUAGUAUUCCUCAGUAUUAUUGUCUGCACAUAGAGAGGGCUAGAUGAACAUGGGGCACUGGUUUAGGUCACUGUUGUGAUCUACAUCCUGAAAGGUUAAUGAUGCAGAGGCCCUGAGCUGCUCGCUGCUCCUCUUUGUCCCAGCUUUCUUCUGUUCUCUUCACUGUCAUGCUGCUAAAUAAAUGCA